GGAGGGUAAGAGAGAGAGAGAUGGAGGGAGGGGAAGAGAGAGAUGGAUGGAGGGAGGGUAAGAGAGAGAGAGAUGGAGGGAGGGUAAGAGAGAGAUGGAUGGAGGGAGGGUAAGAGAGAGAGAGAUGGAGGGAGGGUAAGAGAGAGAGAGAGUGGAGGUGAAGUACAGAUAGAGAGAGAGAGACAGAGGGGUAGAACAGAACAGAAAGGUUCCCCCAGCCCAAUAGGUUGUUGGAGGAGAGAGAGAGAGAGAGACAGAGGGGGUAGAACAGAACAGAAAGGUUCCCCCAGCCCAAUAGGUUGUUGGAAGAGAGAGAGAGAGAGAGAGACACGGAGGGGUAGAACAGAAC
ensembl:lncRNA